rnacentral:rRNA from 1 species
GCAGUAAGGAAUAUUGGUCAAUGGACGCAGGUCUGAACCAGCCAUGCCGCGUGAAGGAUGAAGGCCCUCUGGGUUGUAAACUUCUUUUAUCUGGGACGAAAAAAGGGGAUUCUUCCUCACUUGACGGUACCAGAGGAAUAAGCACCGGCUAACUCCGUGCCAGCAGCCGCGGUAAUACGGAGGGUGCAAGCGUUAUCCGGAUUCACUGGGUUUAAAGGGUGCGUAGGUGGGCAGGUAAGUCAGUGGUGAAAUCUUCGAGCUUAACUCGGAAACUGCCAUUGAUACUAUCUGUCUUGAAUAUCCUGGAGGUGAGCGGAAUAUGUCAUGUAGCGGUGAAAUGCUUAGAUAUGACAUAGAACACCAAUUGCGAAGGCAGCUCACUACGGGAUGAUUGACGCUGAGGCACGAAAGCGUGGGGAUCAAACAGGAUUAGAUACCCUGGUAGUCCACGCCCUAAACGAUGGAUACUCGACAUAUGCGAUACACUGUAUGUGUCUGAGCGAAAGCAUUAAGUAUCCCACCUGGGAAGUACGACCGCAAGG